GGAGAGCUGGCCGAGUGGUCGAAGGCACUUCCCUGCUAAGGAAGCAUACGGGCUUAACCCUGUAUCUAGGGUUCGAAUCCCUAGCUCUCCGCCA
rnacentral:tRNA from 2 species